UACGGAGGGAGCUAGCGUUGUUCGGAAUUACUGGGCGUAAAGCGCACGUAGGCGGCUUUUUAAGUCAGGGGUGAAAUCCCGGGGCUCAACCCCGGAACUGCCCUUGAAACUGGAGAGCUAGAAUCUUGGAGAGGCGAGUGGAAUUCCGAGUGUAGAGGUGAAAUUCGUAGAUAUUCGGAAGAACACCAGUGGCGAAGGCGACUCGCUGGACAAGUAUUGACGCUGAGGUGCGAAAGCGUGGAGAGCAAACAGG
rnacentral:rRNA from 1 species